rnacentral:lncRNA from 1 species
AUUGCGGCACUUCCACCUCUCCCGGUCGGACAAGUAAGGCCGUGAAGUAAGCAGAUAAAAAUGAACCACAUACAUGUUCCUGCUACAAGGGAAUCGUGUAGUUAGAAUUACUGGUAUUAAGUAUACCUUUAAAUAAUUGAAUGUUCUAAUAGUAGAACUUCAUUCUGUAAUAAAGUUGGCCGGUUCUGAUGCUAACAUGUAAUAAUCCUAAGGUUUGUUCUAUGUUAUUAUGUUACAUAUGUUUGGAGUUCCUUCUAUCUUGAGUAAUGUGGGUGUUGCUUAAAUGCUGCAAACGUAUCAUCUUUUGACCAAUCCCACCUCGUAUAUACCUCAAAACACUUAUUCCAAAUUGAC